rnacentral:rRNA from 1 species
UACGAAGGGUGCAAGCGUUACUCGGAAUUACUGGGCGUAAAGGGUGCGUAGGUGGUUGUUUAAGUCUGUUGUGAAAGCCCCGGGCUCAACCUGGGAAUGGCAAUGGAUACUGGACAGCUAGAGUGCGGUAGAGGGUAGUGGAAUUCCCGGUGUAGCAGUGAAAUGCGUAGAGAUCGGGAGGAACACCAGUGGCGAAGGCGG